CAAGCUAAAAAGAGCGUAGGGUGGAUGCCUUGGCACUAAGAGCCGAUGAAAGACGUGAUAAGCUGCGAAAAGCGUUGGGGAGAAGCAAAUAUUCCGUGAUCCAGCGAUUUCUGAAUGGGGAAACCCGGCAGGACAAACUCCUGUCACUGUAUAGUGAAUACAUAGCUAUACAGAGGGAACCCGGUUAACUGAAACAUCUAAGUAGCCGGAGGAAGAGAAAGAAACAUCGAUUUCCAAAGUAGCGGCGAGCGAAAUGGAAAGAGCCUAAACCGUCGUGCGUGCAUGGCGGGGUUCGGACUGAGUACGGUAUCAGACAAGAUUAGAAGAACUGUUUUGGGAAAGCAGGCCAAAGAGAGUGAAAGCCUCGUAUUCGAAAGUUGAGUCUGGCCAUCAGUAUCCAGAGUACCACGAGACACGAGAAACCUUGUGGGAAGGCAGGGGGACCACCCCCUAAGGCUAAAUACUACUUAGUGACCGAUAGCGCAUAGUACUGUGAAGGAAAGGUGAAAAGAACCCCGGGAGGGGAGUGAAAGAGA
rnacentral:rRNA from 1 species